rnacentral:rRNA from 1 species
AUUGAACGCUGGCGGCAUGCUUUACACAUGCAAGUCGAACGGCAGCGCGGGCUUCGGCCUGGCGGCGAGUGGCGAACGGGUGAGUAAUGCAUCGGAACGUGCCCAGUAGUGGGGGAUAGCCCGGCGAAAGCCGGAUUAAUACCGCAUACGACCUGAGGGUGAAAGCGGGGGACCGAAAGGCCUCGCGCUAUUGGAGCGGCCGAUGUCGGAUUAGCUAGUUGGUGGGGUAAAGGCUUACCAAGGCGACGAUCCGUAGCUGGUCUGAGAGGACGACCAGCCACACUGGGACUGAGACACGGCCCAGACUCCUACGGGAGGCAGCAGUGGGAAAUUUUGGACAAUGGGGGCAACCCUGAUCCAGCCAUGCCGCGUGCGGGAAGAAGGCCUUCGGGUUGUAAACCGCUUUUGUUCGGGAAGAAAUCCUCUGGGCUAAUACCCCGGGGGGAUGACGGUACCGGAAGAAUAAGCACCGGCUAACUACGUG